GUGGUUGUAGCUCAGUGGAUAAAGUGCAUGUUUUAAUUAAGCAGGAGGUCAUUAGUUCGACCCCCGCCUAGCACA
rnacentral:tRNA from 1 species